GCUGCUAAUACAUGCAAGUCGAACGAACUUCCGUUAAUUGAUUAUGACGUACUUGUACUGAUUGAGAUUUUAACACGAAGUGAGUGGCGAACGGGUGAGUAACACGUGGGUAACCUGCCCAGAAGUAGGGGAUAACACCUGGAAACAGAUGCUAAUACCGUAUAACAGAGAAAACCGCAUGGUUUUCUUUUAAAAGAUGGCUCUGCUAUCACUUCUGGAUGGACCCGCGGCGUAUUAGCUAGUUGGUGAGGUAAAGGCUCACCAAGGCAGUGAUACGUAGCCGACCUGAGAGGGUAAUCGGCCACAUUGGGACUGAGACACGGCCCAGACUCCUACGGGAGGCAGCAGUAGGGAAUCUUCCACAAUGGACGCAAGUCUGAUGGAGCAACGCCGCGUGAGUGAAGAAGGGUUUCGGCUCGUAAAGCUCUGUUGUUAAAGAAGAACGUGGGUAAGAGUAACUGUUUACCCAGUGACGGUAUUUAACCAGAAAGCCACGGCUAACUACGUGCCAGCAGCCGCGGUAAUACGUAGGUGGCAAGCGUUAUCCGGAUUUAUUGGGCGUAAAGCGAGCGCAGGCGGUCUUUUAAGUCUAAUGUGAAAGCCUUCGGCUCAACCGAAGAAGUGCAUUGGAAACUGGGAGACUUGAGUGCAGAAGAGGACAGUGGAACUCCAUGUGUAGCGGUGAAAUGCGUAGAUAUAUGGAAGAACACCAGUGGCGAAGGCGGCUGUCUGGUCUGCAACUGACGCUGAGGCUCGAAAGCAUGGGUAGCGAACAGGAUUAGAUACCCUGGUAGUCCAUGCCGUAAACGAUGAUUACUAAGUGUUGGAGGGUUUCCGCCCUUCAGUGCUGCAGCUAACGCAUUAAGUAAUCCGCCUGGGGAGUACGACCGCAAGGUUGAAACUCAAAAGAAUUGACGGGGGCCCGCACAAGCGGUGGAGCAUGUGGUUUAAUUCGAAGCUACGCGAAGAACCUUACCAGGUCUUGACAUCUUCUGACAGUCUAAGAGAUUAGAGGUUCCCUUCGGGGACAGAAUGACAGGUGGUGCAUGGUUGUCGUCAGCUCGUGUCGUGAGAUGUUGGGUUAAGUCCCGCAACGAGCGCAACCCUUAUUACUAGUUGCCAGCAUUAAGUUGGGCACUCUAGUGAGACUGCCGGUGACAAACCGGAGGAAGGUGGGGACGACGUCAAAUCAUCAUGCCCCUUAUGACCUGGGCUACACACGUGCUACAAUGGAUGGUACAACGAGUCGCGAGACCGCGAGGUUAAGCUAAUCUCUUAAAACCAUUCUCAGUUCGGACUGUAGGCUGCAACUCGCCUACACGAAGUCGGAAUCGCUAGUAAUCGCGGAUUCAGCAGCCGU
rnacentral:rRNA from 1 species